rnacentral:tRNA from 2 species
GGGCGAUUAGUUAAGUGGCAUAACUGCGGCCUCCAAAUCCGCUGUCGGGGGUUCGAUUCCCUCAUCGCCCGCCU